CCUGCUUCUAAAGGUGUUGCAGCUGCAGCUGCUGUGUCACAUGUGCAUCAGUAGGUGGCAGAGAUGAGAGAGGCUAUGUCUAUGUUCAGUGCUCUGACCUGUUAACAUCUGAAUGAUUAGUUGACUAAUAGU